CCUACGGGUGGCUGCAGUGAGGAAUAUUGGUCAAUGGGCGCGAGCCUGAACCAGCCAAGUCGCGUGAGGGAUGACGGCCCUACGGGUUGUAAACCUCUUUUGCCGGGGAGCAACGGGCGCCACGUGUGGCGCCACUGAGAGUACCCGGAGAAAAAGCAUCGGCUAACUCCGUGCCAGCAGCCGCGGUAAUACGGAGGAUGCGAGCGUUAUCCGGAUUUAUUGGGUUUAAAGGGUGCGUAGGCGGUCCGGAAAGUCAGCGGUAAAAGCCCGGGGCUCAACCCCGGCGAGCCGUUGAAACUGUCGGACUAGAGACGGCGAGAAGUACGCGGAAUGCGCGGUGUAGCGGUGAAAUGCAUAGAUAUCGCGCAGAACUCCGAUUGCGAAGGCAGCGUACCGGCGCCGGACUGACGCUGAGGCACGAAAGCGUGGGUAUCGAACAGGAUUAGAUACCCGUGUAGUC
rnacentral:rRNA from 1 species